rnacentral:rRNA from 1 species
GUUGCGUGGGGUGCAAACAGGUUUAGAUUCGGGGGUAGUCCAGGCGGUUUCCGAUGUGGAGGUGGUGGUUGUGCCCUGGCGGGGUGGUUUCCGGAGCUAAGGCGUUAAAUCGACCGCCUGGGGUGUUCGGCCGCAAGGUUAAAACUCAAAUUAAUUGUCGUGUGCCCUCAGAAGCGGUGGAGCAUGUGGUUUAAUUCGAUGGUACGCUAAGAACCUUACCUGGUGUUGUGAUACACA